GUGCUUGCUUCGGUAGCAUAUAUACUAAAGCUGGAAUGAUACAGAGAUUAGCAUGGCCCCUGUACAAGGAUGACACACAAAUUUGUGAAGUGGUCCAUACUUUU
rfam:Tupaia chinensis contig111712, whole genome shotgun sequence.